GGUCAGGAGAAACGCUGGCGGCGCACAUAAGACAUGCAAGUCGAACGGAAUUAGUCAAAUGUUUACCAUGAGACGAAGAUUAGUGGCGGACGGGUGAGUAACACGUGAGCAACCUACCUUCAAGAGGGGGAUAACAUUGAGAAAUCAGUGCUAAUACCGCAUAACACUAUGAAAAGACAUCUUUUUUAUAGUCAAAGGAGAAAUCCGCUAGAAGAUGGGCUCGCGGCUGAUUAGCCAGUUGGCAGGGUAACGGCCUACCAAAGCGAUGAUCAGUAGCCGAGCUGAGAGGCACAACGGCCACAUUGGGACUGAGACACGGCCCAGACUCCUACGGGAGGCAGCAGUCGGGAAUAUUGCACAAUGGAGGAAACUCUGAUGCAAGUGACGCCGCGUAUAGGAUGAAGGUCUUUGGAUUGUAAACUAUUGUCGACAGGGAAGAAAAAAUGACAGUACCUGUGGAGGAAGCUCCGGCUAACUACGUGCCAGCCGCUGC
rnacentral:rRNA from 1 species